UACGUAGGGGGGCAAGCGUUUGUCCGGAUUUAUUGGGCGUAAAGAGCUCGUAGGUGGUUCGGUAAGUCGGAUGUGAAAUCUCCAGGCUCAACCUGGAGGGGUCAUUCGAUACUGCCGUGACUAGAGGUCGGUAGGGGAGUGUGGAAUUCCUGGUGGAGCGGUGAAAUGCGCAGAUAUCAGGAGGAACACCCGUAGCGAAGGCGGCACUCUGGGCCGAUACUGACACUGAGGAGCGAAAGCGUGGGGGAGCGAACAGG
rnacentral:rRNA from 1 species